GAAGCUGACCAGACAGUCGCCGCUUCGUCGUCGUCCCUUUCGGGGGAGACGGGCGGAGGGGAGGAAAGUCCGGGCUCCACAGGGCAGGGUGCCAGGUAACGCCUGGGGGGGAAACCCACGACCAGUGCAACAGAGAGCAAACCGCCGAUGGCCCGCGCAAGCGGGAUCAGGUAAGGGUGAAAGGGUGCGGUAAGAGCGCACCGCGCGGCUGGU
rnacentral:RNase_P_RNA from 2 species